rnacentral:rRNA from 1 species
CCUACGGGAGGCAGCAGUGAGGAAUAUUGGUCAAUGGACGAGAGUCUGAACCAGCCAAGUAGCGUGAAGGAUGACUGCCCUAUGGGUUGUAAACUUCUUUUAUAUGGGAAUAAAAUGUUCCCCGUGUGGGAUUUUGUAUGUACCAUAUGAAUAAGGAUCGGCUAACUCCGUUCCAGCAGCCGCGGUAAUACGGAGGAUCCGAGCGUUAUCCGGAUUUAUUGGGUUUAAAGGGAGCGUAGGUGGAUUGUUAAGUCAGUUGUGAAAGUUUGCGGCUCAACCGUAAAAUUGCAGUUGAAACUGGCAGUCUUGAGUACAGUAGAGGUGGGCGGAAUUCGUGGUGUAGCGGUGAAAUGCUUAGAUAUCACGAAGAACUCCGAUGGCGAAGGCAGUUCACUGGACUGCAACUGACACUGAGGCUCGAAAGUGUGGGUAUCAAACAGGAUUAGAGACCCUUGUAGUC